ACUAGAGUUUUGCUCCUGGGACGGGACGUCCGAGAGGUCUGCUGGAGUUUGCUGGAGGUGCACUCCAGACCCUGUUUGCCUGGGUAUCACUAGCGGACGCUGCAAAACAACAAAGAUUGCUGCCUGUUCCUUCCUCUGGAAGCUUUGUCCCAGAGGGGCACUCACUAGAUGCCAGGCAGAGUUCUCCUGUAUGAGCUUUUGGUUCCAGAGGGCCAUAGUCUUCAUAUACUUCAGCACUCCAUGAAGGCUUUCUUGGUACUGUUCAAAGGCCAGAGGAUCUACUACCACAGAACCAUUCUAGAUGUGAGUUCCUAGUGUGAAAGGACUGGGAGUUAACAGAAGAGCCACAGUGAGAGUCUCCACCUGACUGCAUUGCUUCAUGGCACUGUGCUUUUGGACAUUUGAUAUCCUUCAGCUAGAAUAUAUUUCUUCAUUGUCCAUUCACAGGAGCCUUCCUUUCUUAAAGACUCAAUUAUACAACAUUCUUUCUACACUUAAACUUCAGAUGAACUGAUUCCAGCAGAAUGGACUCUUAUCUU
rnacentral:lncRNA from 1 species